ensembl:snRNA LOC120101163 U6 spliceosomal RNA
GUGCUCACUUCAACAGCACAUAUACUAACAUUGGAACGAUACAAAGAAGAUUAGAAUGGCCCCUGCGCAAGGAUGACACACAAAUUCGUGAAGCGUUCCAUAUUUUU